rnacentral:rRNA from 1 species
GACAGAGGGUGCAAACGUUGUUCGGAAUUACUGGGCGUAAAGCGCGUGUAGGCGGCAAUACAAGUCGGAUGUGAAAUCCCCGCGGCUUAACCGUGGAAGUGCACCCGAAACUGUAUCGCUAGAGUCCCGGAGAGGAUGGUGGAAUACUUGGUGUAGAGGUGAAAUUCGUAGAUAUCAAGUGGAACACCGGUGGUGAAGGCGGCCAUCUGGACGGUGACUGACGCUGAGACGCGAAAGCGUGGGUAGCAAACAGG